GACGAAGGAUGCAAGCGUUAUCCGGAUUCAUUGGGCGUAAAGCGCACGUAGGCGGCUUUGUAAGUUAGAGGUGAAAGCCCGGGGCUCAACUCCGGAAUUGCCUUUAAGACUGCAUCGCUAGAAUUGUGGAGAGGUAAGUGGAAUUCCGAGUGUAGAGGUGAAAUUCGUAGAUAUUCGGAAGAACACCAGUGGCGAAGGCGACUUACUGGACACAUAUUGACGCUGAGGUGCGAAAGCGUGGGGAGCAAACAGG
rnacentral:rRNA from 1 species